CAAAACCUCUACAAAAAAAAAAAAAAAAAAAAAGGAAAAUUCCAUUUGAGGUGCCAGAGGAAAAUCAAUGUGACUGAUGCUCUCACCUCCAAGCUGUCCUGCCUUCUCUGCUCCCCCUGUUGCUGUUCUUGCCCAGAGCACUGUGAAGGAGCCCCCAGUCCCAUCUGGAGAUUCCCUGUCUGCAAGUCAGCUGGCUCGUCUUCGUAAUCCCUGA
rnacentral:lncRNA from 1 species